rnacentral:rRNA from 1 species
UACGCGAGAAACCUUACCAGGGCUUAAAUGCAAAAUGACAGAUUGGGAAACCAGUCCUUCUUCGGACAUUUUGCAAGGUGUUGCAUGGCUGUCG